CGUCUAGUGGCCUAGGACACCGCCCUUUCACGGCGGUAACAGGGGUUCGAGUCCCCUA
rnacentral:tRNA from 1 species